rnacentral:rRNA from 1 species
UACAGAGGGUGCGAGCGUUAAUCGGAAUUACUGGGCGUAAAGCGCGCGUAGGCGGCUUUGCAAGUCGAGUGUGAAAUCCCCAGGCUUAACCUGGGAACUGCAUUCGAGACUGCAUAGCUAGAGUAUGGGAGAGGGAAGUGGAAUUUCAGGUGUAGCGGUGAAAUGCGUAGAUAUCUGAAGGAACAUCAGUGGCGAAAGCGACUUCCUGGCCCAAUACUGACGCUCAUGUGCGAAAGCGUGGGGAGCAAACAGG